rnacentral:rRNA from 1 species
GACGAACGCUGGCGGCGUGCUUAACACUUGCAAGUCGAACGGAAAGGCCCUGCUUGCCGGGUACUCGAGUGGCGAACGGGUGAGUAACACGUGGGUGAUCUGCCCUGCACUUCGGGAUAAGCCUGGGAAACUGGGUCUAAUACCGGAUAGGAGCCAUUUUUAGUGUGAUGGUUGGAAAGUUUUUUCGGUGUAGGAUGAGCUCGCGGCCUAUCAGCUUGUUGGUGGGGUAAUGGCCUACCAAGGCGGCGACGGGUAGCCGGCCUGAGAGGGUGGACGGCCACAUUGGGACUGAGAUACGGCCCAGACUCCUACGGGAGGCAGCAGUGGGGAAUAUUGCACAAUGGGCGCAAGCCUGAUGCAGCGACGCCGCGUGGGGGAUGACGGCCUUCGGGUUGUAAACGCCUUUCGCUAGGGACGAAGCUUUUUGUGACGGUACCUAGAGAAGAAGCACCGGCUAACUACGUG